rnacentral:piRNA from 1 species
UGCAAUAUGGAAGAGCACGAAAACGAGG